rnacentral:rRNA from 1 species
UACGAAGGGGGCUAGCGUUGCUCGGAAUUACUGGGCGUAAAGCGCACGUAGGCGGCUUUCUAAGUCGGGGGUGAAAUCCUGGAGCUCAACUCCAGAACUGCCUUCGAUACUGGAAAGCUCGAGUCCGGGAGAGGUGAGUGGAACUGCGAGUGUAGAGGUGAAAUUCGUAGAUAUCCGGAAGAACACCAACGGCGAAGGCAGCCUUCUGGGAAGUACCUGACGCUGAGGGGCGAAAGCUAGGGGAGCGAACGGG